UCAGAACAAAAGAUUAAAGAUUUCUGACAGCUUAUUUAUAUGUAUUUUAUUUCCGAAUUUUAGGUGAAAUCUUAAAAUUUUUAUUUUUUGCGAGAAUUGAGUUCAGUUUUCCCUGAUAAAUUAUCGUAAUAAGCUCUCUAAUUUGCUAUAUUAUUCGUUCGUUAAUAGUAAGGAUCUAUGUGGGAUAAUUUUUAUUGUUGAAUGUAAUAUCAUGGCAAGCUGGCUGAAUGAAGAGGGUGAUCUGAAGAUAUCAAGGAUGAAGUGGAAUUAAAACUCUAAUCCAGCUUUUUGAUGUCAUAAAUAUUGCCGUUGAUGUGUUGACUAUUUAAAAAUGG